UACGUAGGGGGCCAGCGUUGUCCGGAAUCAUUGGGCGUAAAGCGCGCGUAGGCGGCCAGUUAAGUCCGGUGUGAAAGUCAAAGGCUCAACCUUUGAAUGCCGCUGGAAACUGCCUGGCUUGAGUCCGGAAGGGGCGAGUGGAAUUCCUGGUGUAGCGGUGAAAUGCGCAGAUAUCAGGAGGAACACCAAUGGCGAAGGCGGCUCGCUGGAACGGUACUGACGCUGAGGCGCGAAAGCGUGGGGAGCGAACAGG
rnacentral:rRNA from 1 species